AUUACUGUUCUGUGGAGAAAAAGUUCUAGAACAGAAAAUACUUUCAAGAGCAGACAAGUGCAUUUAUUAUCUGAUCAGUUAAGCAUAAUUCAUUUCUGUCUAAUUCAGUUUUGUUUUCUAGGGCACAUUUUUAUUGCAAAGCUCGUCACAGUGAUUACACAGGAUCCAGAGCAGAUUGAAAAAUGUCAGUGUGGAAGCAAACUUCACUCAAAAACUUUCUCAGAGAAACUGAAAUGCUAUGGAGAAUCGCUUGUUUUGGAUGGAGAACCUACAAAGUCAAGGUCUCUUAGUGUCCUUCCCCCUCAGAGAUUUGUUGAUGGUUUCUAGUGAGGCAUAAAAGGAUGUUUGUGAGCAAGGCUCCGUGCGUGCGGCUCUGCAGCGUCUCCUUCCCUUUUGUCUCGGUGUAGAAGCACUUCAGCCAGGGUCCCAAAUGCCCUGGAUGAGGAGAGCAGCGGAGUCUCCUCAUAUUCAACACAAAGGUUCCACUGGUAUGAUGCUGUUCCACUGCACAGCGCUAUUCUGUGGUAGCCUGGGAACAGAGAAGGAUCUCCAAGCUAACAAGGGAUGGGUAAUGCCUCCUGUGUUCAUCUAAAGGCAUCCAAUCUCAGGAGACCAUUUCAGCAGAUGUGCAAAGGAAGAGUUGCAAGAACCAAGCCUGCAGUACCUGCAGGAUCGCAUUUUGGUCUGCAUCUUUGAUGAUACAAACUCACCACUGAUUGGGCUGUAGGACUUUGUGAUGCCCUUACGCGUGAGUAACUUCCUUUACCGUGAGUUGAAGGACACUGUUUUUCUUGGGCCGUUGGAAUAUCUGCAGGGAGAAUGGAAACUUAUUCAGAAUUUCCCAAAGCUGUGGUUGUUCUCGGUAAGAAUUUUUUUCCGUAUUGUUUCUCCGUCUCCCUUCCUUUCUGUAGCUCUCUCACAUGCUUCUGAAGAUGUUUUAAGUGUUCGUUAAUAUGAGCGCUGAUCCAAAAGCAAUGCCUCCUAUUUUAUCAUGCUUGUCCAUGAGGUCAGAGGCAGAUGUUGGUGGUAUGGCACUCUGGUUACUACUGAGAAGAAAAUCAUGAUUGGAAAUGGGGAAUUGUCCAAUGACUUGCAAAUUUAGACCCAUGAAUUUUCUUCUCUGACCAAAGCUUCUUGUAUUUGAAGAUGCUUCCAAAAUGCCAUUGUGCUAGCUGGGUUUGAAAUAAGUGUAUUUGUUCAUGUUUCACUUUUAAUGGUUCUUAAUGUUCAGCUUUCUCAAAUUCCUCCUUAUCACCAUUUACGUGGUUUUAUCAGGGUAGUGCUCUUUCCUGUGUGGAUCUGAAGACAGUUAAUGUCAAGCAUUGCGCUGCUUGUGUCAUCCUGUUUUCCAACACCUCUAUCUCAAACAAUCCUCCCUUGGCGGACACAGAAAGCAUCCUAGCCACUCUCAAUGUCUGAUCCAUGGAGGCUAAGCCCGGCUCACCCUUUCUGGUAUAUUGUGUGAAGAUCUCCGAACUACAGUGCGUACAUGGAAAAUAGAGAUGUGAGCAUCUAUUCAUCAAAGCCUUCCCAACCUGCCUUGCAGAGCUUCUAUUUUGUGCAAGAG